ACACGAUGGGUAACUGGUUGUACUAAGCAAGACUCUGAGGGGCAUGCCAUGUUUGACGGGGACAUGCGUGGACUCGGGUGUCACCAGGAAGCUUUAAGGAGUUAAGAUAACUUGGGGGGCAAAUAAACCCCCCCUGGGAAAGCAGCCCGGUACCUGGCUCACAUGGCUCACAGCGGUCUUUCCAGUCGUGAGAAAUCACCACAACAGCUCACGCUUCAACAAUCUCAGUGACUGAGUCUGUGGAGCCACCCGGACAACUUACCUGAGAACCUGGUGACAUCACCGGAGACAUUCACACUGCGGACCAGGGGGAUCCGUCAGAGCGUCGCUGCCUCCGUUCCCACAAAGGACACUUUGAGCCAGCUAUGUAGACAUUUUCUCAACUGACGGCCUCACAGACUCAGAAACUGGAUUAUAAUUCGCUUUGACUGUGAACUCUGUUCUUUUAUUUUUAUGAGCACACCCCUGUUACAUGUCUGACUGCUUGCUUCGACAAUACAGAUCUCAUCACUUCAGGAGACCGCCUGCCUCGCUGCCUCCAGAAAUAAGUCACUAAACCAACUUGAAUUCUCAGGCCUGAGUUAGGGGAUCAACGAAACGCAGAGCAACUUGCCGAUUUAGCUUCUGGGGUGUGGCUGUUAUUUCACUUAUUGUCAAAGGAGGGCCUGAAGGGAAUGAAAGUUUUGCUGCCCUAGAGCAGCAUUUGGGGGACAUGGAGUCCUAAGCUGUUUAUUAAGAAACGAAAGACUGAGAAAGAACCUUUGGUCUUCACCCCCUUUCCUGCCCAAGAAAUCCACAGAGAGAUGAGGCCCAUCCCGGCUCCUGGGAGAAACAGCCGAGCUCCUGGGGCACUGGCUGCUGAAGGUUGCCGCCUGGGGCCAAGUGGAGGCCUCCGGGCCAUCGUGUUCCAGGGAGCGACUGACGACCACCGGCCCCUGGGAACAGCUAGCUAACUGCCCAGGACAGGAAGGUUGCAGCUUCUUUUACCCAAUCCUCCCUGAACUUCAGAACCCCUUCACCGCACCUUGUUUGUUCCCUGCUGUAAAAAGUCUGGCCUGGAAAGAGGAGACAAGAUGGUCUGUUAGGGUGUGAACCCGCCACCUUCUCAGACCGCCGGCCAUCUGAGUCAAGCGCCCAUAGAGAUUCAAUCCCUGUCUCUGCUCAUAGGGUUUGGUGGCCGGUGCCUCUUCUGGUUUCAGUCUGGGGCCCAUUUGGCUUAUCUGACCCCCCCUCCAGAAGGACAGUGGUCACCCCCAGGGUCAUCCCGGAUCUGCUUGGGAAGAAGUCCUGGCAGAAUUAGGUUCUCACUGAGUUCUUCUCUUCACCAGGCCCGCACUGUGCCCAUGCCUGCCAGUGCUGAUGCCUUCUAGGGAGGGGAAAAGACGAAGGCUGGGUCCUCCCAGGCCCCGCCCUCUCGGAGCCCGCCGUCAGGGUGGGCAGUAAGGAGAUGCCUUCUGCCCGGGGCCUGCGUUUUAUGAAUUUUCAACAAAGCCACAAUGAACAUGUAUCACCUCUAUGAUGGGGGGGUGGGGGCAGGUGGAGGGUGCUUAUAUAUAUUCAAGUCUCACUUGCUCCAGGCUCCGCUGGUUUCUAGCUAGCAAGUAAGGGGGGGAAGAUAAUCAGGUUUGCCAAGUUUCUGGAAAAACUGCUUCUUCCCCAGAGAAGAAGGCAGCCAGAGGGGUGGAGGGGGGAGGGGACAUCCUUGAGAGCAGCUGAAAUUCAGAGCCGCUCUGGAGACAGAGUACUAAGCCCUCUGGCUGCCUCUGGUCCCUCCUGGCUCCAGCUGACUACAAGAGAAACAUUCAUUAGGCAGAAAUGACAAAGAAUGCCAUAACCAGGCGGGCUGCCAGAAGCUGGGAACCCCAGGAAUGCCCAGGCCGGGGUCUGAUGGGGCAAAUGCCCUUUUCCCAGAGAGAGAGCUGCUGAGACCCCACCCUCUGUCGGAGCCUGGGAUGCAGGGGGCGUUUUGGUCAACGGACAAUGGACUAGGAGGGAAUGCAGGCCCCCACGUUCUGCUCCCUGCACAGGGCACUGACAGAGGACAAAACCUCAUCAGGCACCUCACUGCCACUCCAGGCAGGACCCAGAGAGCGCCAACCCCAGCCCUCCCCAGGGUGCCCCAGCCCCAGCCCGA